rnacentral:rRNA from 1 species
GGGGAAUAUUGGGCAAUGGGCGAAAGCCUGACCCAGCGACGCCGCGUGGGCGAUGAAGGCCUUCGGGUCGUAAAGCCCUGUCAUGCGGAAAGAAAAGUCCCGCGAUUAAUACUCGCGGGAUGUGACGGUACCGCAGAAGGAAGCACCGGCUAACUCCGUGCCAGCAGCCGCGGUAAUACGGAGGGUGCAAGCGUUGUUCGGAAUUACUGGGCGUAAAGGGCGCGUAGGCGGUAAUAUAAGUCAAAUGUGAAAUCCUCCAGCUUAACUGGAGAACAGCAUCUGAAACUGUGUAACUAGAGUACAGGAGAGGGAAACGGAAUUCCCGGUGUAGAGGUGAAAUUCGUAGAUAUCGGGAGGAACACCAGUGGCGAAGGCGGUUUCCUGGCCUGAUACUGACGCUGAGGCGCGAAAGCGUGGGGAGCAAAC